rnacentral:rRNA from 1 species
UGGGGAAUAUUGCACAAUGGGCGCAAGCCUGAUGCAGCCAUGCCGCGUGUAUGAAGAAGGCCUUCGGGUUGUAAAGUACUUUCAGCCGGGAGGAAGGUGGUAAGGUUAAUAACUUUAUCAAUUGACGUUACCGACAGAAGAAGCCCCGGCUAACUCCGUGCCAGCAGCCGCGGUAAUACGGAGGGUGCAAGCGUUAAUCGGAAUUACUGGGCGUAAAGCGCACGCAGGCGGUUGAUUGAGUCAGAUGUGAAAUCCCCGGGCUUAACCCGGGAAUUGCAUCUGAUACUGGCAAGCUUGAGUCUCGUAGAGGGGGGUAGAAUUCCAGGUGUAGCGGUGAAAUGCGUAGAGAUCUGGAGGAAUACCGGUGGCGAAGGCGGCCCCCUGGACGAAGACUGACGCUCAGGUGCGAAAGCGUGGGGAGCAAACAGG